rnacentral:tRNA from 1 species
GCGCGGGUGGUGGAACUGGUAGACACGCUAGUUUGAGGGGCUAGUGGGGCAACCUGUGCGGGUUCGAGUCCCGCCCCGCGCA